AGUUCCCGUUCCUUUCCGCGGCCGACUGCGGUCUUGAGGGUGCUGGACUGCCGCGGGGUGCGUGGCGCUCGGGGGCGCCGGCUGACGGCGGCCUGGAGGGCGUCCUCGGCGGUGUCUGGACGCGCGCUUUGCCUCUUCUCUGCGACAGAUGCGCCAGAGUUUUAAGUUAACCCCCAGGUCUCACGUAUCCUAAGUGAUCUACCUAUAACCUAGAUGCUGCUUUACUUUUUCUAAGGGACUUUGAAGCUCUUCGUAAAACACCAGGGAAGAUAAAGCUCUAGGUGCUUUGUGAUGGUUUGAUUUUUUAAAUUUAUGUUUUGCAGUGUCCGAUUUUUACCCCUGCCUUUGCUGGGGCUAUCCAUGUAUAUGGAUGUAUGUGUAUAUUUCUCUUUGCUUUCUGCAUGGUACAUGUGUGCGUACGUAGAUGGACACGCGAUGAAAAGUCAUGGAGAGCUUGCCUCUUGCUCUCCUCCAGGACUCCCUGGCUCUAGUCUUGGGAAAAUCCGACCUUCUUAUGGCUGCCUUAUCUGUAAAUUAGAAAUAAGCCUUUCCUAAUAAGACUUAUUUCUGUAAAUAAGCCUUACCUAUCUUCAGGCCCAGGAUAAAUUACAGCUAUGGAAAAAAAUACUGCUUAGGAGAAUCACCUGGAACCAAGUUCUAAACAGAAUAUGUGUAUUUCUUUCUUUUUGUACUAUAAAAGUAACCAAAUAGCCAGAAUAAGCCAGCCAUUUGUUAAAACCCCAUGAGUAUGGGAAAUUUUUCUAGCUAGAGAGCUUUGUUUUUUCCCAGUGGGACUUUACCUUGUAGUUUUCAUGCUUAAAAUUUUGUGAGGAGAAGAAAGAAUUUGAAAGAUCAUAAAAGACAGCAACUCUUUAAAAGCUGUAAAUUUAAAAGUUAUCUAUUAGAGAAAACCUAUCACUACUGCCAAAGGGCGUUUAGCAGUUGGAUACCUCAGGUUCAACAGGAGGACCAUUAUUCAGAGUUUAAUCAGAUUUUUAAAAUUUGAAUGGGACUUCAUUUAGUAAAACUAUUCAUGGUGUUCUGGCUUUCUCUUUGCAUAAAUGUGGUCAAGAAUGUGUGUUUAGCUUCACUAUGGCCAGCAAACAAUGAUGCUGUAUCUUAUAGAUUCCCCUCUCCAACAACAUAUUUCGCUGGCAUAUUUUAUUCUCAUAGCCAUUCCUAUAGUGUAGAGAUUUUCGACAAUCCUUGUCUGCCCAGAGCAACAUUACUUAUUCAAUAAAUUGAGUUUAAAUUGCAAGUCUUUUGCCUGCAAAACUUAACAUACAUUCUCAUAUAUAUUUAUAUAUAUGAGCUAUAUAUAUAAUUAACGUAUAAUGAACACAAUUGUAGAUCAGAUCAAACACCAUGUUACCAUGUUAAGAACAAUAGUUAGGCCAACAUUUCAACUUUGAAAAUAUUUUCUUUAAGAGCUCCUGAAUUCCUCCAGCUUCCCCUUCCUGAAUUCAGACUGCAGAGCCUCUCAGUUACAAACUAACAGGAAUCACAGAAUUAGGUGUUUUUGUUUCGCUUGAGUUGUAGUUUAUUUUGGGAAGGAAAUGGGAUAUCACUGGGAUAAAGUUUAUUAUCUCCUUCCUCAGUUGAGUAAAUAGUGAAUAUCACGUACCAAUGAAUAAGAAGCCUACAAAGGUAAGACACAUCUUAGUGAGGAAACUACAGCAUAGAGAAAAGAGUAAGACAGAAAUAACCGUAAUUAUGGCCAGGCAC
rnacentral:lncRNA from 10 species